UAGGGAAUCUUCCGCAAUGGACGCAAGUCUGACGGAGCAACGCCGCGUGAGUGAAGAAGGAUUUCGGUUCGUAAAACUCUGUUGUUAGAGAAGAACAGCGCAUAGAGUAACUGUUAUGCGUGUGACGGUAUCUAACCAGAAAGCCACGGCUAACUACGUGCCAGCAGCCGCGGUAAUACGUAGGUGGCAAGCGUUGUCCGGAUUUAUUGGGCGUAAAGCGAGCGCAGGCGGUCAAUUAAGUCUGAUGUGAAAGCCCCCGGCUCAACCGGGGAGGGUCAUUGGAAACUGGUUGACUUGAGUGCAGAAGAGGAGGGUGUAAUUCCAUGUGUAGCGGUGAAAUGCGUAGAUAUAUGGAGGAACACCAGUGGCGAAGGCGACUCUCUGGUCUGUAACUGACGCUGAGGUUCGAAAGCGUGGGUAGCAAACAGG
rnacentral:rRNA from 1 species